rnacentral:lncRNA from 1 species
CUUCUGUUUUUCUGAGUAGAAAAUGGCACUUUGCACUUUCCUCAUUUUUUUCUCUAGAUGAUUAGGUUGAGAGAAUGAAAGGAUACCAUUUUAACCCAAUAUCCUGCCAGCGGCUGCUAAGAAGGAUACCAAUUAAUUCUAAUUGUAGUGGCAGCUUUUAGGAUGUUGACUCUUCUUUAUUAAGAUUAUAACCAGGAACUCAGUGCACAUAGGUCACAAUGUAGCUGUCAAAUGGCAGCAACUUCAAUCAAUACCCACCUGGAUUGGAUGCAACCUGAUGACCUAGAGUUUUCUUUCAGUUUCAUGUCAGACUGCUGUUUUACUCUGCAGCCUCUAUUAGACUGACCCCCGUAUUGCAUAGAAAUGGCUUAAAAUUCUCAACUGACAGAACCUGUAAAUGGCCAGGUAUGUAUAUUUUUCCUUAUUGUAGCCACAGCAAAAAUGUCUGAAACCUAAAAUUUAUUUUAACAGAAAACUCUGAAACCUAUCUCAAAUUGUUGUUGU